rnacentral:rRNA from 1 species
UGGGGAAUUUUGGACAAUGGGGGCAACCCUGAUCCAGCCAUGCCGCGUGAGUGAAGAAGGCCUUCGGGUUGUAAAGCUCUUUCGGCCGGAACGAAAUCGCGUACGUGAAUAACGUGCGUGGAUGACGGUACUGGAAGAAGAAGCACCGGCUAACUACGUGCCAGCAGCCGCGGUAAUACGUAGGGUGCGAGCGUUAAUCGGAAUUACUGGGCGUAAAGCGUGCGCAGGCGGUUCUGCAAGUCAGAUGUGAAAUCCCCGGGCUUAACCUGGGAACUGCGUUUGAAACUACGGAGCUAGAGUACGGCAGAGGGGGGUGGAAUUCCACGUGUAGCAGUGAAAUGCGUAGAUAUGUGGAGGAACACCGAUGGCGAAGGCAGCCCCCUGGGCCGAUACUGACGCUCAGGCACGAAAGCGUGGGGAGCAAACAGG